UUGGAGGGCAAGUCUGGUGCCAGCAGCCGCGGUAAUUCCAGCUCCAAUAGCGUAUAUUAAAGCUGUUGCAGUUAAAAAGCUCGUAGUUGAAUUUCGGGAUUAGUACGUCGGUCGUGCCUUAGGUACGUACUGAUGUUACUGGUUCCUACCUUCUGACGAACCAUCAUGUCAUUAAUUUGGUGUGGUGGGGAAUCAGGACUGUUACUUUGAAAAAAUUGGAGUGUUUAAAGCAGGCUCGCGCUUGAAUACAUUAGCAUGGAAUAAUGAAAUAGGACGUUGAUCCUAUUUUGUCGGUUUCUAGGAUUGACGUAAUGAUUAAUAGGGAUAGUUGGGGGCAUUAGUAUUCAAUUGUCAGAGGUGAAAUUCUUGGAUUUAUUGAAGACUAACUACUGCGAAAGCAUUUGCCAAGGAUGUUUUCAUUAAUCAAGAACGAAAGUUAGGGGAUCGAAGACGAUCAGAUACCGUCGUAGUCUUAACCAUAAACUAUGCCGACUAGGGAUCGGAUGAUGUUAUUUUUAAUGACUCAUUCGGCGCCUUACGGGAAAC
rnacentral:rRNA from 1 species